GGUUUAACGAAUUCGCCCUUGUACCGCGGCUGCUGGCACCGGUCUUGCCCAGCCCUUAUUCCAAAAGCUUUUUACACUUAAGAAAAGCCACCCCGUUAAGAGUGGCACUUGGGGUCCCCCCGUCGCGAUUGCUCGCAUUGCGGAGGUUUCGCGCCUGCUGCGCCCCGUAGGGCCUGGAAAGGGCGAAUUCGCGGCCGCUAAAUNUCAAUUCGCCCUAAGGGGGGUUCCUANUAAA
rnacentral:rRNA from 1 species